rnacentral:lncRNA from 1 species
AUCCACGCUACUCAUCACCAACCCCUCAAAACCCUUACUUAAUUAACAGACGGACGUGCGCCGCGAACGGAUUAGUUGGAGCGCAUCUUCUCGAGCUGGUUGAGGGCCGGCUGGAGGAUGUUGAAGAGCACCCACCCGAGGGCGGGGGCCACCACGAAGAGCAGCAGCAGGCCCCGGUUGUCGUCCGCCGGCGCCGCCGCGGCCGCCAUGGCCGCGAUCUCCCCCGCGGCGGCCGAGGCCCGCUCCGGCGCGGCAGCGGCCAUGGCGGCCCCGAGCCCGAGCCCGGCCACGAGCGCCUUCUCCGACCGCAUCUUGUUGAGCUGGUUCAGCGCCGGCUGCAGGAUGUUGUAGAGCACCCAGGCGAGCGCCGGGGAGACGACGAUCAGGAGGAGCAGGCCCCGGUUGUCGUCCGCCGGCGCAGCCGCCGCCAUGUCCGCCACCCGCUGCGCCGCCAUCGCCGCGUCGGAGGUCGCCAGCGAG